rnacentral:rRNA from 1 species
UUAUGUGAUCGUCUCUCGCAUAUCAAUAAGCGGAGGAAAAGAAACUAACAAGGAUUCCCCUAGUAACGGCGAGUGAAGCGGGAAGAGCUCAAAUUUGAAAUCUUAAAGGGUUUCCCUUUACGAAUUGUAGUUUAAAGAAGUGUUUUCUGUUGAGGUUUUGGUAAAAGUUCUUUGGAAUAGGACAUCAUAGAGGGUGAGAAUCCCGUAUUUGACCUUUACUUUCAACUUUGUGAUACACUUUCAAAGAGUCGGAUUGUUUGGGAAUGCAGUCCAAAAUGGGUGAUAAAUUUCAUCUAAAGCUAAAUAUUGGCGAGAGACCGAUAGCGAACAAGUACCGUGAGGGAAAGAUGAAAAGAACUUUGAAAAGAGAGUUAAACAGUACGUGAAAUUGUCAAAAGGGAAGCGUUUGACACCAGUGUUGUUUUUCUGAAAAUCAAUUAAAGAACUGUUUAUGCUAAGCUGUUUAGACUUUAUCAGCUAACUGUUUAGUUUUGAGCUUUUCUUUAAUGCACUUUUCAGUUAACAAGUCAACAUCAAUUUCUUUUGCUGUAAAAAAGCUUGAGGAAGGUGGCUUGAGAUUCGUCUUAAGUGUUUAUAGCCUCUUGCCUAUGCAGUCGGAGAGAUUGAGGUCUGCAGCGUAGAUCCUUCGGGGCUAAAUGCAUUUGUGCUAAGUUAUAGCAUUUUAUAGACAACUUGUUGACUAUGAUUUGUCUUGUAGCUUACUCGCUUAUGUUAUUUUACCUACGCUUAGGAUGUUGAGCGCAUGUCUCUCUCU